UUGUUUGCAAAUGUAGCAUCAUCAAGAUUCACAUGCAACGUCGUAUGUAUGUAUAUAUAUAUAUAUGUAUAGUUUGGGCCUGAGAAUCUUGAUGAUGCUGCAUUGGCAAUGAA
rfam:Gossypium raimondii Chr09_contig_1593, whole genome shotgun sequence.